GGCUGGCUGGCUGGCUGGCUGGCUGGCUGGC
rnacentral:rRNA from 1 species